AAAUGGCAUCAUAUGGCUAUCUUGAUUAGAAUCUUCAUGAUCAGUAAUGUUAUUGCCUAUCAUAUGUUUAUUGAUCACGUGUGUUUUCAUUUCUGCAAAAUAUCUACUUAUAUCUUUUGGCAGUUUUCCAUUGAAUUAUUAGCAUUUUCUUAUUCAUUUUUAAGAGUUCUUUAUGUGUUCUUGACACUAAUACUUUGCUAGUUGUGUACAAUUAUCCAAGUUUGUAACAUAGCUUCUGGCUUAGUUAUGGUAGCAUUUUAAGAAUUCUCUUAAUAUAAUUAAACGCAACAUUUCCUGUUAUAACCAACCUUAUAUGAACAUGUAUUACUUGAAUCUAAUAAUGUUCAUUUAUAUUUUUAGCCACGUUUUUUGACAUUUUUACAUAAAUGAUUAAUUUUUGGUGUCAAUAUAUGAGUUAUUCAGUUUUUUUCAUAUGGUUUUCAGGUUCAUUUGUGGAAUAGCCCCUUCCCUGUCUCACUGAUAUGGCAUGGCAAUUUUGUUAUAUAAUGAAGUUCCACGCAAGCAUGGUUCUGUUUCUCAGCAUUCUGACUGUUUCUGCACCUAUGCCACACUGAGUAACCAAAGCUCAAGAGUUAAGUCAUCUGGUUUAACAGUUCUGGAGGCUGGGAAGUGCAAGACCAAGAUAUGAACAGAUUCAUUAUCUGGUACAGAUACCCUGCAUAUUUUUGGCCUCAUAUGAAGAAAGAAAUGUUUUUGAAAAUUUACAUGUGUGCAUUUAUCAUCAUAAAUACAUUUAAUUCAUUGUAAAGACAUGGCCAGAAAGAUAAUCAGCUAUCUGAUAAUUAUAAGGUGCUGGUUAGAAAACAGGUACUUACUUUAAAUAAAAUUGUUAUAUUAAACUAUCUGGCUUUACCUGGCCUUUAAUGCCUUUUGAGAAUGUCAAGAUCUGCAGAAACAUAGAUUUAUUUAAAUUAAUUCUGAAAUAGCACAGCAUUUGCAGUGGUUUUGGUAAUUCUCUAGCUCAGAUGUAUAAGCUCAGAUUUGUAUAUACAUCCACUGAACAUUUUUCAUUGUGUAUGAGAUCAAAGAUUCUUAAUCAUACUCCAAAUUGGACACUGCUAGCUAAUUGGGUAGUUAUAAUACCAUUUAGUUCAUUUCUUAAUGGAAAGUUGGAAUAAAC